UGCCCCUUAGCCAAGCGGUCAAGGCAUAAGAUUUUGGUUCUUACAUCAUCAGUUCGAUUCUGAUAGGGGUAG
rnacentral:tRNA from 1 species